rnacentral:rRNA from 1 species
GAUGAACGCUGGCGGCGUGCUUAACACAUGCAAGUCGAACGGAAAGGCUCCUGCUUGCAGGGGUACUCGAGUGGCGAACGGGUGAGUAACACGUGGGUGAUCUGCCCUGCACUUCGGGAUAAGCCUGGGAAACUGGGUCUAAUACCGGAUAGGACCACAUUUUGGAUGGUGUGGUGGAAAGUUUUUCGGUGUGGGAUGAGCUCGCGGCCUAUCAGCUUGUUGGUGGGGUAAUGGCCUACCAAGGCGUCGACGGGUAGCCGGCCUGAGAGGGUGUACGGCUACAUUGGGACUGAGAUACGGCCCAGACUCCUACGGGAGGCAGCAGUGGGGAAUAUUGCACAAUGGGCGCAAGCCUGAUGCAGCGACGCCGCGUGGGGGAUGACGGCCUUCGGGUUGUAAACUCCUUUCGCUAGGGACGAAGCGCAAGUGACGGUACCUGGAGAAGAAGCACCGGCUAACUACG